AUUGAACGCUGGCGGCAUGCUUUACACAUGCAAGUCGAACGGUAACAGGCCUUCGGGUGCUGGCGAGUGGCGAACGGGUGAGUAAUGCAUCGGAACGUGCCCAGAGGUGGGGGAUAACGCAGCGAAAGCUGUGCUAAUACCGCAUGUGAUCUGAGGAUGAAAGCGGGGGACCAGGCAGCAAUGUUUGGCCUCGCGCCUUUGGAGCGGCCGAUGUCAGAUUAGGUAGUUGGUGGGGUAAAGGCCUACCAAGCCGACGAUCUGUAGCUGGUCUGAGAGGACGACCAGCCACACUGGGACUGAGACACGGCCCAGACUCCUACGGGAGGCAGCAGUGGGGAAUUUUGGACAAUGGGCGCAAGCCUGAUCCAGCAAUGCCGCGUGCGGGAAGAAGGCCUUCGGGUUGUAAACCGCUUUUGUACGGAACGAAAAGGCUCUGGCUAAUACCUGGGGCUGAUGACGGUACCGUAAGAAUAAGCACCGGCUAACUACGUG
rnacentral:rRNA from 1 species